AUCGAACGCUGGCGGCAGGCCUAACACAUGCAAGUCGAGCGGAUGAAGGGAGCUUGCUCCUGGAUUCAGCGGCGGACGGGUGAGUAAUGCCUAGGAAUCUGCCUGGUCGUGGGGGAUAACGUCCGGAAACGGGCGCUAAUACCGCAUACGUCCUGAGGGAGAAAGUGGGGGAUCUUCGGACCUCACGCUAUCAGAUGAGCCUAGGUCGGAUUAGCUAGUUGGUGGGGUAAAGGCCUACCAAGGCGACGAUCCGUAACUGGUCUGAGAGGAUGAUCAGUCACACUGGAACUGAGACACGGUCCAGACUCCUGCGGGAGGCAGCAGUGGGGAAUAUUAGACAAUGGGCGAGAGCCUGAUACAGCCAUGCCGCGUGUGUGAAGAAGGUCUUCGGAUUGUAAAGCACUUUAAGUUGGGGGGAAGGGCAGUAAGUUAAUACCUUGCUGUUUUGACGUUACCAACAGAAUAAGCACCGGCUAACUUCGUG
rnacentral:rRNA from 1 species